rnacentral:rRNA from 1 species
CCUACGGGGUGCAGCAGUGGGGAAUAUUGGACAAUGGGCGAAAGCCUGAUCCAGCCAUGCCGCGUGUGUGAAGAAGGCCUUCGGGUUGUAAAGCACUUUCAGUGGGGAAGAAAGCCUUGGGGCUAAUACCCUCGAGGAAGGACAUCACCCACAGAAGAAGCACCGGCUAACUCCGUGCCAGCAGCCGCGGUAAUACGGAGGGUGCGAGCGUUAAUCGGAAUUACUGGGCGUAAAGCGCGCGUAGGCGGUCUGAUAAGCCGGUUGUGAAAGCCCCGGGCUCAACCUGGGAACGGCAUCCGGAACUGUCAGGCUAGAGUGCAGGAGAGGAAGGUAGAAUUCCUGGUGUAGCGGUGAAAUGCGUAGAGAUCGGGAGGAAUACCAGUGGCGAAGGCGGCCUUCUGGACUGACACUGACGCUGAGGUGCGAAAGCGUGGGUAGCAAACAGGAUUAGAUACCCCAGUAGUC